AUGCCCAGUGAUUGUCAGUAUUUAGCUCACGACUCCCAAGUGCCUACUUUUCGAGGCAUUCUUGACAUUUCUUUUGCCACAUAGCCUUGCCUUGUUAGUUCAUCGUAUGUUUUUGUUCUUUUUAUGACAAGUGAGAAUGUUAAAAGUGAGUCAUGACGCCUUGGGUCUCUUGUGUGUUUGUUCCGCCGAAGUACAGCAUCAUCAAAGGACAAAAUUCCGCUUUACCUCUCCCAGAUUCGGUGAUCUAUUUGCACCGUCGCAAGGAGGGAUCAUCAAGAUGGAUGAAAAUGGCUUAGGGAGAAGAAUGAGUGUGGUGGAAUUAAUUUGAAUAAAAUAAAUACAGAGUUAAGUACGCUGGGAAAAGUAAACACUGGUCUGGGUAAUCACAGUAAAUCUGUUCUGGAGUAGAGGGAUGGUGGUGGGGUGGGCAGCCAACGGUUUGUUCCUUGGAGGAGCUAACAAAGCCGGCGAGAACAGCUUUACUGAGAGAGGAUAAAGUCAGAGAGUGACGGCAAUGUCUGGCUGAGUUCAACUAUGUCAACAUCAGCGUGCAAUUCAAAGGGAGAAGAAAGCGAUCAAAGUACUCAAGGAACAUAUUUGGAAGGCGCUGGACUCUAAAGUACACUUUAUGUUCAUGAACUUGUAUGCUAGCUAAAGCUAGCUAGAUCUGGACAUAAUAUAACCCAAAGGAUUUUCACCACCCUCGUGGAGCCCCGACAGUGAGAUAAUGAAAAAAUGCUCAGGGCUGUAUUGCGAUUGAGCAUGAUGAUUUGAUAAAUGGAGCAGCUUGACACCCCCCCCCCCCAAAAAAAAACAAGGACCGCACAUCACUUAAGCCACCAGGCCCACUGCCUUUGCUUUUCACCGCCCUGCGUGAAAGUGUUUUCCUCGACUGUAACUGUAACUGUUAGUUGCUUCGUUGAAGCCCAAAAAUCAUUCAUAACCCGGCCACAUUUUGAUGGCAAGCGAUUUUUGAACCUGUUGAAUGGUUAUCAUCACACAAUAUUAUGGAAACAGGCUUUCGUACUUUGUGUAACUGCAUAUUAUUUAGUUUCCUCAAAAUGGGUUAAGAAUAAUUUCCAAAAUGUUACAAUAUAAAUGAUGAAUUUUUCUCUUGACUGUAGAUGCUUUGAUCUUUGUCACAUAUAGAACGGAUUGAAAAUACGGUGGCGUAAAGAGGAAAUCAAUUUAGAAAAGUCACGUUACAGAAGAUUCACCCAAUUCAUAUCCCAUUCAAAAACCAGUAAAUAACAAUUUUACAUGUUUUUACAUGUCUUUUUCAGAUUUACAAUCAUAUGAUGAAUUACAGAUCUUUGUUGCAAUUUACAUUUAUUGACGUUUUUAUGUAUCUGAGAACCAAUGAAUGGUUUUUAUGAGCUUCAUGGGGCCAAAAUUGAGAAACAUCGACUUUGUUGUCCCACUCUGUCUUAAUUAGACUUCUGUGCUUGAUUUGUGUACAACCAAGCAUUUUGCAUUCCAUGUUUUGGACAUCAAAUGUGUUCUUGUUGGAAAGCUGUUUUUCCCAUCGCUAUACUACAUCAGUCCAUUAAGAACAGAUGUCUGGAGCUUGUUUAUUGCGAAUAAAUA